GCGAAAGCGGCGGCCGAAGGCGUGGGAGGGGGCCACCCCUCGGUGCCACGGACGGCAGGUGAGGGCGGCAGGGACGAGCGUCGUGAGGAAGGGGAGGUGGAGGAAGAUCUCGAGCAGGAGGUCCUCGCCAAGAGAGAGUGAGCAAGAAACCGGCACUCAGCGGCGAAUCCUAACAACUGUGAGUGCUGAGUGCCCGGCGGCGGCGCAGCCCUGCAGGGGGCAGGGGACGGGUGACACGAGAAAGAAGAGGAGGUUGGGGUUGAAGGCUAGGAAAAAUAGAAACAAAUGGGUAAGUUGUGUAAUAAGUGGCAUGGUGGGUAAUUAACUCCCAACUCCACGAGAAGGUGUGAAACUGAUGUUUUUGGAGCACUCAUCAAGGCACUCCAGGAAAAACAUGGAUCUAACCCUUUAGCUCCAUGUUUUUUUCUAGAUCUGGAGUUCCUGGAGCUAGAUGUGUUGGCAGCAUGUUUUGUGGAGUUCGUGGAGCCGACCUGAAAUUUGUGGAGCAGAGCUCUACCAGACACGCCCAAAGUUGGAAUAUUUUUGGUUAAACUGGAACAUUUUUCUUAUGAAAGUAGAAUGUUUUUUUAAUGUUUCCCAGUCACGCCCUUGGAUGUUGAUCAUGUGGCCCAGAUUACAAGUUUGCACGGUUGCACGAAGAGGUUGGUUUGCACCUGAUAUGUUGCCGUUUUUAUUCUAUUCAAAGAUGUUCAUGUAUAACUAUAUAAAAGUCAAUUGUCCACUUGUUUC